ACUUGGGGAGCUUUUCCAGGAACAAGGGAAUGUGCACAUGAGCAGGGCACUAACAGAUUCGAGCCACCAGCCUGCACCCUCCCCCACCAGGUCGUCGCUCAGUUUCACCUUUUCCCUGGCGAUACCCCCUGCCGUUUUCCAUCACCACUGUGGCCUGGACCCCUCUUCCCUCCCACAUGUCCCCCAGACCCUUCUCAUGCAGAAGGAUGAGGCCUUGCCCUGGACUCUACCUCAGCUCAGCAGCACAAAUACUUCCUGCCACCAACACCCAGGGAAGCUUGAGAGGAAGGAAAUGUCCUCCAACAUAUGGCAAGAGGACGAUGCGUAGAGAGGGCAGCGUGGACACUGGGUCUCUUCUGGGCAGGCCACGUUCUUGCACCCAAGGCUAGUGGAGAAUUUGCCUUCCAUUUAAGCAGAUCCCAGGGUUUGAUGCCAGAAUUGAUGGCUCUCUUCCGGCCGAUCCUUCUCCCAGCGCCAGGUGCAUGGUGGUGGCCCUGUCACCAUGCUCUGUGUCCUUCUGGCUGUGGCUUUCCAGAGCAGCCCCAUUCCAGGUGCAGCAGCUUAGAAUUGCAGUCAGUCUCCAGACAGCGCUGGUUACAGUAGCUUGGUGACAUUAGACCUUUAUUGUUGCAAGGAAGAGAAGUCACUUGAGUCAGCAGCCCAGGGCGUUUCUCUGCUGCCAUCCUCCUGCCAUUCGCUGUGCCUUCCAUCCUAAGGUCACCUCUUGGGCUGAGGAGGUAGUUGGAGGCUUAGUCACCUCUGCCUUCCAGGCAAGAGAAGGGAAGGAUGAGGCCAGGCCACCCGCCGGCUGUCCUGUUCCCGUAUUGAACGUUCCCAGGAAUUCCAGCCGCAACUUCCUUCUUCACAUCAUGGACCAGAACUGAGUCUGAGGCCACCUGGGUGUUAGGGGAGGGCUGUCUCCUCGAAGAAUGCUCUGCUGCCCAGGCGGGACGUGGGGCUUUGUCCCAAGGGAGGAGGAGAGAAUGGGGGGGCGGCUGCAAUCCUGCCUGCUGGGGGCUUUGGGUCCUGCUGGUGGCCUCUGGGGAGGGGCUGAGACAAGCAGGUGGCUGAGGCUAGAGCACUGAGCAUGGUUGGGACUUUCUAGGAGGUCAGGGCAGAGCUGGCUCCGGGCCUUGCCACCACCGACCUCACUCUUGGUUCUCCCCUCAGUCAAUGCCGUGUGCCCCGAGGCUGAGCUCUUCGUGGAUCCCAAGAUGCAGCCGCCCACCGAGAGCCAGGUGACCUACCUGCGACAGAUCGUGACGGCCGGCCUGGGGGACCACCUGGCCCGCAGGGUCCAGAGCGAGGAGAUGCUGGAGGACAAGUGGAGGAACGCCUACAAGACCCCUCUCCUCGACGACCCUGUCUUCAUCCACCCCAGCUCCGUCCUUUUCAAAGAGCUCCCCGAGUUUGUGGUCUACCAGGAAAUCGUGGAGACCACCAAGAUGUACAUGAAAGGUGCCGAGGCCUGCGGACAGCCCCUUGUCCCCCGAUGGUGACGCUAAUGGGGGUGUGGCUGGGACCCUGGGGCAGAGGCAUGGCAGCCCCUCCCACGGAGGGUGCCGCUGUAACCCCAGCUUCCUCCCCCGGCCCCCAGGCGUCUCUAGCGUGGAGGUCCAGUGGAUCCCGGCCCUGCUGCCCUCUUACUGCCAGUUUGACAAGCCCCUGGAGGAACCAGCCCCUACCUACUGCCCCGAGCGGGGGCGGGUGCUGUGUCACCGGGCCAGCGUGUUCUAUCGCGUGGGCUGGCCGCUCCCCGCCAUCGAGGUGGAUUUUCCAGAGGGGAUUGACCGCUACAAGCACUUUGCCCGGUUCCUGCUGGAAGGGCAGGUCUUCCGCAAGCUGGCCUCAUACCAGAGCUGUCUGCUGUCCAGCCCCGGCACCAUGCUGAAGACGUGGGCCAGGCUGCAGCCCCGUACGGAGAGCCUUCUGCGAGCCCUGGUUGCAGAGAAGGCUGACUGCCAUGAAGCCUUGCUGGCUGCUUGGAAGAAAAACCCCAAAUACCUGCUGGCUGAGUACUGUGAGUGGCUUCCACAGGCCAUGCACCCCGAUAUCGAGAAAGCCUGGCCCCCCACCACUGUCCACUGACCAGAAACCUGGCUGCAGGGCCGAGGACUGGUUUGGGGACUGGAGGGCUGGCAGCAGCCUGUCACCGUGUGACCGUGACCACCUGGCAUGGGCUUCGUGGCCUGCUCUCAGGAAGUGGGUCAAGCCCUGGGAACCCUCAUCCAUGAGAGCUCGAUCCCGUAUGAAGGGUGCUGCCGCCCGUGCCAUCUGGCCUGGGGGUGACUUUUUGAACUGUUUAUUAUAUGGUGGAUGAUGAUUUCAUCUCACGUGCUGGACGCUGUUCUGUUCAGUGUGCUCUUUGGACUACAUUAGUCCCCUGUGGAGCAGCAGGGCUGGAGAUCUCUGCAGUCCCUUCCCCGCCUGCCCUGCCAGAAGGCCGAGGAGGCACGUGGAGGGCCUCCUUCCUGCAAUUCUUCCCUCUCCAGAGUCAGAGAGGGCUGCCCAGCCCUGGCCUCACAGCCGUCCCAGAUGUUAGGUGAGCCACCGAGCUCUGUGUUGACCUUGAGGGGCCUGGCUGGGGGCCCCCAGGCUCCAUGCCUUCUUGGGAGGGUGGCCGCCAACGCCUUUCCUGUGUUAUGGCAACAGGGAGUGGGCAUCUCAUCUGCCUGUGGUCAGCUCUCAGACGGCAGGGAGCGGAGCUGACGUUGGCUGUGCUUGGUCACCGCUGCCAUGCCGCAGAGGAUGCGCCUAGCUGGGCUGGGGCCACACGACUAUUAUGUUGGCCUUGAACGGGGACUGCAGAGCCCUCAGUUUGUCUCCCUUGUUCCUCUGUGGCUGAGGUGGGAGGGGGAGGGUGGGGUAGGUCCCCCAGCAAGAAAGAGGGACAGGAGCACCCCAGGCAGGACCAAGGAGUCGGGAGGCCCCUGCCUUCUGUCCUCCAUGGUGAGGGCACAGAUGUCUCCCCAGAGCCCAGCACUGGCAGAAUGGAUUCUGCUCCUGGCUUUGCUUCUGCGGCUUCGGUGGAGACAGUUACGGAAUAAAAUGUUCCUUGCACCCAG
rnacentral:sRNA from 1 species